CGAAGGUGGCAAGCGAUGUUCGGAUUUACUGGGCGUACAGGGAGCGUAGGCGGUUGGGUAAGCCCUCCGUGAAAUCUCCAGGCUUAACCUGGAAAGUGCAGAGGGGACUGUUCAGCUAGAGGAUGGGAGAGGAGCGCGGAAUUCCCGGUGUAGCGGUGAAAUGCGUAGAGAUCGGGAGGAAGGCCGGUGGCGAAGGCGGCGCUCUGGAACAUUUCUGACGCUGAGGCUCGAAGGCGUGGGGAGCAAACAGGAUUAGAUACCCUGGUAGUCCACGCCUUAAACGAUGGAUACUAAGUGUCGGCGGGUUACCGCCGGUGCCGCAGCUAACGCAGUAAGUAUCCCGCCUGGGAAGUACGGCCGCAAGGUUG
rnacentral:rRNA from 1 species